UACGAAGGGGGCUAGCGUUGCUCGGAAUCACUGGGCGUAAAGCGCACGUAGGCGGAUUGUUAAGUCAGGGGUGAAAUCCUGGAGCUCAACUCCAGAACUGCCUUUGAUACUGGCGAUCUCGAGUCCGGGAGAGGUGAGUGGAACUGCGAGUGUAGAGGUGAAAUUCGUAGAUAUCAGGAAGAAUAUCCGUGGCGAAGGCGGCUCUCUGGGACGGUACUGACGCUGAGACGCGAAAGCGUGGGGAGCGAACAGGG
rnacentral:rRNA from 1 species